AUAAGCUACCAUGCAGUCUCUUGAUCCUUCGGGUGAAGGUGGCGGACGGGUGAGUAACGCGUAAAGAACUUGCCUUACAGACUGGGACAACAUUUGGAAACGAAUGCUAAUACCGGAUAUUAUGACUGAGUCGCAUGAUUUGGUUAUGAAAGCUAUAUGCGCUGUGAGAGAGCUUUGCGUCCCAUUAGUUAGUUGGUGAGGUAACGGCUCACCAAGACGAUGAUGGGUAGCCGGCCUGAGAGGGUGAACGGCCACAAGGGGACUGAGACACGGCCCUUACUCCUACGGGAGGCAGCAGUGGGGAAUAUUGGACAAUGGACCAAAAGUCUGAUCCAGCAAUUCUGUGUGCACGAUGAAGUUUUUCGGAAUGUAAAGUGCUUUCAAUUGGGAAGAAGUCAGUGACGGUACCAACAGAAGAAGCGACGGCUAAAUACGUGCCAGCAGCCGCGGUAAUACGUAUGUCGCAAGCGUUAUCCGGAUUUAUUGGGCGUAAAAGCGCGUCUAGGCGGUUUAGUAAGUCUGAUGUGAAAAAUGCGGGGCUCAACCCCGUAUUGCGUUGGAAACUGCUAAACUAGAGUACUGGAGAGGUAGGCGGAACUACAAGUGUAGAGGUGAAAUUCGUAGAUAUUUGUAGGAAUGCCGAUGGGGAAGCCAGCCUACUGGACAGAUACUGACGCUAAAGCGCGAAAGCGUGGGUAGCAAACAGGAUUAGAUACCCUGGUAGUCCACGCCGUAAACGAUGAUUACUAGGUGUUGGGGGUCGAACCUCAGCGCCCAAGCUAACGCGAUAAGUAAUCCGCCUGGGGAGUACGUACGCAAGUAUGAAACUCAAAGGAAUUGACGGGGACCCGCACAAGCGGUGGAGCAUGUGGUUUAAUUCGACGCAACGCGAGGAACCUUACCAGCGUUUGACAUCCCAAGAAGUUAACAGAGAUGUUUUUCGUGCCUCUUCGGAAGGAACUUGGUGACAGGUGGUGCAUGGCUGUCGUCCAGCUCNGUGUCGUGAGAUGUUGGGUUAAAUCCCGCAACGAGCGCAACCCCUUUCGUAUGUUACCAUCAUUAAGUUGGGGACUCAUGCGAGACUGCCUGCGAUGAGCAGGAGGAAGGUGGGGAUGACGUCAAGUCAUCAUGCCCCUUAUACGCUGGGCUACACACGUGCUACAAUGGGUAGUACAGAGAGCUGCAAACCUGCGAGGGUAAGCUAAUCUCAUAAAACUAUUCUUAGUUCGGAUUGUACUCUGCAACUCGAGUACAUGAAGUUGGAAUCGCUAGUAAUCGCAAAUCAGCUAUGUUGCGGUGAAUACGUUCUCGGGUCUUGUACACACCGCCCGUCACACCACGAGAGUUGGUUGCACCUGAAGUAACCAGGCCUAACCCGUAAGGAGGGAUGU
rnacentral:rRNA from 1 species